AUCGUGGGUGCAGCGUUGUCCGGAUUUAUUGGGCGUAAGGGCUCGUAGGUGGUUGAUCGCGUCGGAAGUGUAAUCUUGGGGCUUAACCCUGAGCGUGCUUUCGAUACGGGUUGACUUGAGGAAGGUAGGGGAGAAUGGAAUUCCUGGUGGAGCGGUGGAAUGCGCAGAUAUCAGGAGGAACACCAGUGGCGAAGGCGGUUCUCUGGGCCUUUCCUGACGCUGAGGAGCGAAAGCGUGGGGAGCGAACAGGAUUAGAUACCCUGGUAGUCCAAGGGCG
rnacentral:rRNA from 1 species